rnacentral:lncRNA from 1 species
GGGAGGGGCGCGCUCUAAGCUGCGGGGGGAAAUGCACACCGGGUUCUAAAGACCAGAAACCUGCCUGAAGGUUGCCUGACGUGUGAUAGGGUUCGCGCUCAGGCGGCCCAGUAACCUUACAGGGUUUGUAGGGCGCCGCAAGGAAUGCGUGUUGGAUACGCCUGCUCCCUGAUCAGAGCCCGGAAAUUACAGGGUUGAUGACAUGGGAAACCACUUCUCACUGGAGAUGAAAUAUCUGGAAUGUGACCUGAUGGUUGGACCUGCUGCAGCCAACCUGGGUUCAUGAGGGAAAUUUGAGGGAAUUCAGAGGCUCUGGACUUAACUAAACCAGAACCAAGAACCACAUGCCUCCGGACUUCCACUUAGGGCUAUCUAUCUUCCCAUCUAUAUUUGGAUUCUCCUAAGACUAGGGUGCCACCAUUCAUCUGAUUCUUUGGUAUGAGGGCUCCUGGGCCUGAGGGCCAUUUCAGGGUCACUGAGGCAAACAACUUGGGUCAAGGGUCCUCCUUUCUCAGCCCAUCACCUCACCUGGCCAGUGGGGAGUUGUGCCAGCCCAGAUUCAGAACUUUUCUGUUAAAAUGUGGAAUUCAGAGGGCUGGCCCCGUGCCUGAGCGGUUCAAUUCGAGCACUCUGCUGCAGGCGGCCCAGUGUUUCGCCGGUUCGAAUCCUGUGCACGGACAUGGCACUGCUCAUCAAACCACGCUGAGGCGGCGUCCCACAUGCCACAACUAGAAGGACCCACAACGAAGAAUAUACAACUAUGUACCGGGAGGCUUUGGGGAAAAAAAGGAAAAAAAUAAAUAAAUAAAAUUUUAAAAAGGUGGAAUUCAGAGAUGAAUGUGAUCUGCUGGGCCUAGGAAGACCAAAG